ACGCUGGCGGCGUGCCUAAUACAUGCAAGUAGAACGCUGAAGGAGGAGCUUGCUCCUCUGGAUGAGUUGCGAACGGGUGAGUAACGCGUAGGUAACCUGCCUGGUAGCGGGGGAUAACUAUUGGAAACGAUAGCUAAUACCGCAUAACAGUAGAUGUUGCAUGACAUUUGCUUAAAAGGUGCAAUUGCAUCACUACCAGAUGGACCUGCGUUGUAUUAGCUAGUUGGUGGGGUAACGGCUCACCAAGGCGACGAUACAUAGCCGACCUGAGAGGGUGAUCGGCCACACUGGGACUGAGACACGGCCCAGACUCCUACGGGAGGCAGCAGUAGGGAAUCUUCGGCAAUGGACGGAAGUCUGACCGAGCAACGCCGCGUGAGUGAAGAAGGUUUUCGGAUCGUAAAGCUCUGUUGUAAGAGAAGAACAGGUGUGAGAGUGGAAAGUUCACACUGUGACGGUAUCUUACCAGAAAGGGACGGCUAACUACGUGCCAGCAGCCGCGGUAAUACGUAGGUCCCGAGCGUUGUCCGGAUUUAUUGGGCGUAAAGCGAGCGCAGGCGGUUAGAUAAGUCUGAAGUUAAAGGCUGUGGCUUAACCAUAGUACGCUUUGGAAACUGUUUAACUUGAGUGCAAGAGGGGAGAGUGGAAUUCCAUGUGUAGCGGUGAAAUGCGUAGAUAUAUGGAGGAACACCGGUGGCGAAAGCGGCUCUCUGGCUUGUAACUGACGCUGAGGCUCGAAAGCGUGGGGAGCAAACAGGAUUAGAUACCCCUGGUAGUCCACGCCGUAAACGAUGAGUGCUAGGUGUUAGACCCUUUCCGGGGUUUAGUGCCGCAGCUAACGCAUUAAGCACUCCGCCUGGGGAGUACGACCGCAAGGUUGAAACUCAAAGGAAUUGACG
rnacentral:rRNA from 1 species